ACUGACUCACUUGUCUCAGUCCGUCUCAGUGUUGCUAAAGAGUCUUUUUUUAGCACCUGGGUUUUUUUUGUUCGGAUGUGUUUUGAUUUAUGAAUGUGAGUUUUAUGUGGAUUUUGAUGGUUUGUGAAGGUUGUGUUGUGGGGUUUUUAUUAUGCGGUGAAAUUUUAUAUUUUUAUGUUGGUGGGUGUGGAUUUCUUAUUAAGGUAUUUGGAGCUGUUACAUGUUGAACAUAAGUUAAAUGUGUGGCUAUUUUCUUCAAUAUAAACUAAGAAGAAGAAAGAUUAUUUUAAAAGGUAAAAAAUUAUCAAAACUGAUUUUUUUUGUGUAUUAGCUUUUAGAAACAAGUAGUUCGAUGGAAGUUACACUUCUGUCUAUAGGAAUUUGUAGCCAUUUCUUUGAAGAGAAAUGAGCAAUAUGAAGAUUGAAUUUCUGAAGUGGGUAAAGGAGUGCUGCUAGUUGGAAUUGCAAACCUUUCAGUGAAAGCUAGGCUGUUUUAAGUGAGUGAGUGUGCAUGUAGUUCUGUUUGUGGAUGGCAUGUUUUCUGGUUCUUUAUGGAUUUGAGUUUUAUAUGUAAUGAGGUUGUUUGGAGUGUUUCCUUUUCUUUUUUCUUUUCGUUGGGAAAUAUAUUGAGUAAUUUCUAUUGGCUAUUUAUUAGUUCAGCGUUGAAUUCAGAGACAAAUGAGCAUGUAGCAAUAAAGAAGAUAGCAAGUGCAUUUGAUAAUAAGAUUGAUGCAAAGAGGACUCUUCGUGAGAUCAAGUUGCUUCGACACAUAGAGCUUGUGUAGUUGAGUUGGUUAUGGAGUCAAAUGCCAGUGGACUUGUUUUUUUUUGGCUGAUUCCUUUUUUUUUUUUGGUGGCUUCAGUUAUAAGAAGUGACAUAGUGGAUGAUCGGUGUUUUGAUUUAUUUUUUUGUUAUGGAGUCAAAUGCCAGUGGACUUGUUUUUGUUUCAACAUUACAAUAUUGUAAAGCUUGUGUAGUUGAGUUGGUUAGCUGUUUUGUAGGUCGCAUGGACAUGUGCUUAUAUUUUUAUUUGCCCAAGAUGUGAAAUUGACAAUAUUUGUGGUUAAUUUUUUUUUUUUUAAUAAAAAAUGAAACGAUAGUAUUUGCAUGAUCAUAUGUACAUAUGGCUAAUUGUAUAGGAAUAUGGUGAACAUCUGUAAGCCAUCAAUUUGAGAAAAGUAUUUAACUAGUUGGAUUCUGUUGGUAAGUGAUUAUGGAGAUCUGUUCUUGAGAGAGAACAUUUUCAGGAAUUAUGUAUUUAAAAAUAUAGUGUAGGCAUAAGAGAUUAGACUUAUAGUUUUGUUAGAAACACUCAAGGGUUAGUUUACAGAGUGGAAUUACUGGUGGUUAGGAGGCUUUUGUAGAAGAGAUAUCUUUUAUUAUGAAACACGGGAGAAGGUUGAUUUGCCAUGUUAUCUUUUGAGAAUAGAAGUCUUUGACUUCUAAUUUUGCAUAUUUGUGCACAUUGUUGAUGGUCGUUUGAGCUUCUUAGUUGUUUAUAUUUAUGUUUUGUUUAAAUAUUGAAAAUUAAAAAAAAGUUAGGUCCAAUGGCAUUAUUUCAAAAAUGACCUCAUAGUUAUAAUUUUUUAAACCCCACCUUGUUUCACUCCUCAUAUACUUGACUCUCUGUCUCUGGCAGUUGGAGGCUGCACUGCAGUCAAUGAGUUGUUAUCAAUUCAGAGCUCGAAACCCAACUACAGUUAAAAAAAAUCAGAAAUAGAAGAAAAAAACAGAAAUUUCAAAAACACUCAAAACAUUUUCAUUUUUUGAAACGAAAAUGAUUGCAAAAUGCUCUUUUCAGUCUCCUAACACCCCCCUCUUAAAGAGUCUUGAUGGGCUUCGCCACCUUGCAGAAAUGCACCAUUUCAAGGUAAACUCACUUCGCCAAUUCAAUUUCUUGGGGAAAUUUGGGGUCCUUCAUGAUGGAAAACAACCUUAUCCUGGUGCAAUUUCUACAUGUAUGUAUUCAUAUGUGAGUUUUAGCAUUUGAGUGUUCUUGUUUUAGGUUGUUAUCGAUAUUAUAAAGUUUAAUGCUUUUACAUAUAUAAAUAGAUGUGAUGAUCAUGCAGUAUUGGCAUGUUAAAGGGUAUUAACUUCAUUGUUAUGCUUCAUCCGAUCGCAUAGGGCAAAAUAAAAACGUUCCCUUUAGGAAAUAAGUAAAGCCACGACUUGGUUGUUAAGAAUGUGCUUCAAAGUUUGAGUGUCUAAGCCUAUUUAGGUGUUGUACUCAUUUAUCAUAAAAAAUUAUCAUUGUAGCAUAGUAAUAUGGUCUCCCCUGUUUCUUUCGUUGUCCAUUCAAAAUAAGCGAAAUAUCUGAAUUACGUUUUCUGUGAUUUUUUGUAUAACUACGUAAUAGUCAUUUUGAUAUACUCAUAAAAAUCUCAAACAUAUCUUGCUGUAAGGGCUCGGCCUUCAAGUCAUAGAGAAUGUAGAAGAAGCUGAUUUUAUUCUGGCCCACGGUACUAAAGCAUUGGGGCUCCCUUCUGGAGAGGCGCAUCCUGCUAGUCUUGAGGAUUUUGAAAAAAUAUUGGAGCUUUGUGCAGCUAAGAAAAUUCCAAUGAUCGUAGCCAAUCCAGAUUAUGUGACUGUUGAGCCUAGGGCUCUGCGUGUUAUGCCCAGUAAAUUCCAUUCUCUUUAGUAUGCCACAACAUUGUGAAAGGAAAAUAGCUUACUUUGUGCUGGAAGCUUUCACUCUACUGUUACAUUUUUAUACCUGUUGCUGGUGUUUCCAUUCACAUUCUGGUUACUGCACAGAACCUGGAAUUUCUCUAUAUUUAAAUUGCAGAUUUUGGAAUUUUGUUGUUCCACCUUUUGAAAUUUAAAUUUUGUCGAUCCUUCUAGGUACUUUGGCAUCAAAAUAUGAAAAGCUUGGAGGUGAAGUGGCAUGGAUGGACAAACUUGAUAAGUGAUGAACAUGGUCGGUGUUGCUACUAGUGACUCCAUUGCUGUGGGUGAUUCCUUCACCAUGAUACUAAGGGAGCCAAUGCAGCUGGAAUCCAGUCAGUAUUUACCAUUGGAGGAAUCCAUGCAAAUGAACUUGGACUAAGCAGUUUCGAAGGAUUUGCAGAUUUAUCUUCUAUCCAAAACUCUUUUAUCAAAAUAUGAUGCGUAUCCAUCAUGUGUUACCAGCAUUCAUAUGGUAAAAUCUGAUCAAGGUAAGUACGGAUUUAGUCACUAUGUUUCCGAACUUGCUUGUCAGUAGUAAAUAUUAGUUGAUAUGGAUCUAUAUCUAAAACUCAAUAAUUAAGGAUAGAAUCUAAAACAUUUCCAACGUGUCUGCCAUAUGAGGAAGAUUUAUAAAAGUUGGUUCACAUGUCUGCCAACAUCUUAUUUACA